rnacentral:lncRNA from 1 species
AAGUUGAGAGAAAUCUUACACUACAAAUUUGCUGAGAGUUUGCACCAUGAAUAAAUUCCAAAUAUUGUCAAAAGAAUGGAGUGUAGUGGCGUGAUCUUGGCUCACAACAACUUCUGCUUCCCACAUUCAAGCGAUCCUCCCACCUUAUACUCCUGAGUAGCUGGAACCACAGACAAACUACAAUAAAGCCAUGCCCUGACUGGAUGUGCCUAACAUUUGUCUGGUGCUUAAAGGAGUUGGCUGCAUGCGUGGAAAUGUUGGAAAGUCACCAAAAAUAGUUCUCCAAGUCAGAAGCGGUGCAAAAGCUGCCUCAGCUCUUGGUGGAUUUUCAAUUUCUCCCAGCCAUCUCUGUUUCGCUAAAGGUUUCUGAAGACAGUGGGUAUGUGGCAAACUUCUGCAAUUCUAUAUUAAGAUAAACUGUUAGAUCAAUUAUGUGUGUCAUAUUAUCUUCCUUCUGCAGAGUUUGAGAAUUAUAUUUCUUACCUGUUUGCUUCAGGGACAACUUGUUUGGAAAAAAAAUCACCCAGGGUUAAACAUCAUAUUCUUUAGAACCCAAAAAGCAUUGAUCCAUUUAUAUCCAGCUUCAAAUACCAUGCUAGUAUUCCCAACUUAAGGGCCACCAUAUUGAUGCAUGCUAAUGUGCCAACAGUUUCAUCCACUAUUUUAUUUUAUUUAUUUAUUUAUUUAUUUGAGAUGGAGUUUUGCUCUGGUCACCCAGGCUGGAGUUCAAUGGCAUGAUCUUGGCUCACUGUCACCUCUGCCUGCUGUGUUCAAGUGAUUCUCCAGCCUCAGCCCUCCCGAGUAGCUGGAAUUAUGGGCGCCCACCACCAUGCCUGGCUAAUUUUUGUAUUUUUAGUAGAGACAGGGUUUCGCCAUGUUGGCCAGACUGAUCUCCAACUCCUGACCUCAGAUGAUUCGCUCACCUCGGCCUCCCAAAGUGCUAGAAUUACAGGCAUGAGCCACAGUGCCUGGCCUCACCCACUAAUUUUUAGACACCAUUAGUGUAAGUGUCAUCAAAAUAAAAAAGACAAAUAAUCUAUUAAUAUUAUGUUACUGUAGUUUUGUCCUCACAGACCCUCAGGUAGCUUCUGGGGACCAUCAUGGUCCCACAGACCAUUCUUUGAGAAUUGCUAUCACAGAGAAAAUAAACCUUUGACACAUCAUAACUGCACUCUAAAUAUAGGAUUUGUAUAUGCUGAAGAAUUUCAAUAAAGAUCUGGAACAGCAGC